AUAGGUGCCCGUACCGCAAACCGACACAGGUAGUCAAGAUGAGAAUUCUAAGGUGAGCGAGCGAACUCUCGUUAAGGAACUCGGCAAAAUGACCCCGUAACUUCGGGAGAAGGGGUGCUCUUUAGGGUUAACGCCCAGAAGAGCCGCAGUGAAUAGGCCCAAGCGACUGUUUAUCAAAAACACAGGUCUCUGCUAAACCGUAAGGUGAUGUAUAGGGGCUGACGCCUGCCCGGUGCUGGAAGGUUAAGAGGAGUGGUUAGCUUCUGCGAAGCUACGAAUCGAAGCCCCAGUAAACGGCGGCCGUAACUAUAACGGUCCUAAGGUAGCGAAAUUCCUUGUCGGGUAAGUUCCGACCCGCACGAAAGGCGUAACGAUUUGGGCACUGUCUCAACGAGAGACUCGGUGAAAUCAUAGUACCUGUGAAGAUGCAGGUUACCCGCGACAGGACGGAAAGACCCCGUGGAGCUUUACUGUAGCCUGAUAU
rnacentral:rRNA from 1 species